CCUCCCUCUAGUCACGUGCUCUCCCCUCCCCUUCCUCCUGACACACCCACCCACCUCCCUCAACUUCGAUCUAGAUCGGGAAGCCCCGGCCGCCCGCCUCUUCCUCUCCCUCCCGACCACGGCGAGCCCCCUUCCCUCUCCCUCAUACCAGAUCCAGGGCAUGGAGCCGUGGUGAGCUCCUUCCCCAACCCUCCUCACCGGAUCCAGAGGAGAGCUGGUGACCAUGUCCUCCGGCGAGGGCGUUGCUCCGGGGUGUGGAGGCCGCCGAGCUGCAGGAGGAGGAGCUCCCCGCCACCCCAAGGCCCCAGAUCCAGACGCCACGGCCAUAGCCGGGCUUCCAGAUCCUCGUCAUCGUUGAGCUGGCCCAUGAUCGAUGAACGGCGGCGUAUCUGGCGGCAAGGCCAAGGUGCCGCAGGCGAUGGCGCCGGUGGAGGGUGGUUUCUUCUCCACGUCCACGCGCCGGGAGAGGAAGCAGCCUCCGCGUUGUUCUGCAGCAAGUUCGGCAACGGGGGACGCGCGGCCGUCCUCCUCCUCCUCUGCAUCCAUGGCGCUCAUCCCGGAAGGGGAGGUACCGCUGGAGCUCUAAGGCGGCCUUAAACACCACCGAUCUGGUCGGAGGUUGGGCAGAUAAGGCCCUGCGUCUCCUGCUCCUUCCCAUGUCAUCGUUGGAGGAGAGGAUGAUGGUGAAGCAGCAGAGGAUGAUGGUGCCCGACCAUGGCGAGCGAGGAAGCCCCAAGAUUGAUAGGUGGCUCCCUCUUGUCGUAUGGAUUUGGGGCGUAUUUCAAGCAGGUAAUGACCUACUCUGAUGCCGCUCUAAGAGAAAAAUGUGCCACCCCUAUCCUCAAGCAGUUCUUUCAGUUCUAGCCCUCCUAUCUUUAAUUCCUGGCUGCUGGACUACCCGUGGGACAACAAGUUCAUCUGCGGCAGCUAUCGCUGUGUGCAGUCCGUCCGUGAAGCGCUCCGCAGCGUCUUCGCCGGGCACAACGAGAUCCUCAACGUCUGGAAGGAUAAAGUGAAGAAAAAGAAGAAAAGAUUACUAGAAGAUUAGUUUUAGGACUUUCUUUUAUUUCCUUGCAAUUUUCCUUUUAUUGGAUACUUGUAAAGACAUUGUAAUAUUCUUACUAUAAUAAAAAUUAUGAUUCUAUUUCA